GGCUGGAUAACGGGACCCGGAGGCCGAAAGCGGAGCUGGCCGACCUGGACUUUCUGAUUUUCCUGGUUCCCGAAUCCCCACAUCUCGACAACACAGCUCCAUCCCCAUCCCCGAGAACCUCGAUCUUUGACCCGCCAGUAGGGGGUCGGAACCGUAUACAGCGAGUGCAUUAGUGUCCACGCACAUCUGUCUGUGGAAUGUGUGCAUCCGCAUGUCCCGAGGGGCUACUGUGUCUCUAGGAUGGGAUUCUACAGUGUCUACUCAAGAAGUGUGAGGACCAGCUAGCUACCAUGCCCAGGAGAGGUUUGACUUCUGGCGGUUUCACCUCUGAUGGCUGCACAACCAAACACUGUGACAUCACAUCCUCCCAGCUUGCCCGUGUUGAAGAACUCCGUUUCUUUCAACCCAGGUCGCUAAUGCCUCUGUUGGAGAAUUGUUUUCCUCUCAAAACAACCAGGGGAUGAGCUGAACUGGUAACUCAGGCUUCCAUGGGCUUCCGGUAGCCCUCUAUGCAGCCUGGCACCCCAACUUUCCACCAGCCGGAAGAAAGCUACACUCCUCAGCCUGAGGCAGGUGCUUUCUUCCAGGCCAUCUUCUACCUUCCUGAAGUGCCUUCUCCUGGUCCUUUGGUCCCUUCCUUUGUCUCAGCUGCAUGUGCAAGAUUUUAUAGAAAGUAAAGACAAUCCUUCCAUUACCAGGGUAUGCAGGGCCCUGGAGGAUGUAUUGUUGGAAUUCUGUGGCUUUCUUUCCUUUAAGAAUGUACAGAAUCCCUUGCUCAGGUCUAGGAAAGGCUGCGUAAAGAACUCUGGAUUUGGAGUAAUGUCCCAGUUGACAUUCCGUAGACAAGGUAGUCAACCCUUCUCUGUAUUAUGGUAAGUCCUCAGUAUGUGUAAUUAUAUAAUU
rnacentral:lncRNA from 1 species